GGCUGGAUCAUUAUCGAGCAAUGAACAAAAAACUCUAGUUGCCUUCGGGCUCCUAGUAGUACAACUGGGGUAGGAUCUAUGUGCGGGGCGUUUGAAUGUGACGCCCGACUGCACGCCCCACCGAUUAACGGCUAACGGUUGGUGUCUAGUGGGUUGCUGAGCGGUUGUUGCCUGUGCCGUGACCGCGUUGAGGCUCCCAAAUACGCAUACGUCCUGCUAGUUCAGGGUAGCGGAUGCGCAGACUCAAAGAGCUACAGCCUGGUAGCUGCCAACCAAACCAAAUUCCAAUGAAUUCUCCGUAAAACGGGAAUGAAUAUCAGUCUUACCGGUGGAUCACUCGGCUCGUGGAUCGAUGAAGAACGGAGCUAACUCCGAUAUGUAGCGUGAAUUGCAGACGCUUUGAACGCCAAGUGUUUGAACGUAAAUUGCGCCGUAGGAGUCCUACCUUACGGCACAUCUGGUUGAGGGUCGUGACCGAACACAGCAGGAAUUUAGCUGUAAUAGAACUAGCUAGCCGGAUCACUGGCUCGGCCUACCGCCUCUGGCCGAGAGUGGUCUGCUAUCAUGCUCUAGAGGACUGCAGUCCCCCUAGCCGGGGACAGCAGCCUGCCACACGGAUGGCCUAUUAGCUGAGGCAAUAGGUCCCGGUCUUGGGUAUCAUACUACCUUUUCGGUUGAAUAUACUCCGAGGCGUCUGGGAUACAGCUAGUAGCGAGUCAUACGUGCCUGGCCAACGAAAGCUUCCUAUCGCUUUCCCGACCUCAACUCAGGUGUGAUUACCCGCUGAACUUAAGCAUAUCAGUAAGCGGAGGAAAAGAAACUAACGAGGAUUCCCUUAGUAACGGCGAGUGAACGGGGAAAAGCCCAGCGCUAAAUCUUGCUGCUCUAACGGGUAGCGAGAGGUGUAGCGUAUAGUAGGCGAUCUUCCUCGAUGGCUGUCGACUUAAAUUCUCCUUGACUGGGGUUCCAGAGAAGGUGAAAGGCCUGUUCAGUCGAUGGCCGUCUUGGAUUCCGCUCUACUUGGAGUCGGGUUGUUUGGGAACGCAGCCCAAAGUUGGUGGUAAACUUCAUCUAAGGCUAAAUACGGCCACGAGACCGAUAGCAAACAAGUACCGUGAGGGAAAGUUGAAAAGUACUUUGAAGAGAGAGUUCAAGAGGACGUGAAACCGGUAGGAUGGAAACGGAUAGAGCCAACGAACAAGCCCGUAUUCAGCUAGUCGUCUGCGUGCGGCAUGCCUAGGCACUCGCAAGGGUGUUUGGGUGUGUGCGGCAUGCGGUUGGCUAGUGCAUUUGCGGGUGAUGUGCGCUGAGGCGUGUGGUGGUGUCCGGCAAACCGUCUGGAGAGGACUUGCCUUCACGGGCUUGAACCCUACAGGCGGGGAGUAGGAUCGCUGCUGCACGUAGAUGAAGCGGCUAGGUGUAAUCGCGCUGCCGUGCUGCUGGGCUAGCUACUUGGUCGGUCGCAUGCGACUAGGCCAUGUCGGUUGGUCUUAGUGGUGCGGUAGUGCCCUAGUCGUGCCUCGGUGUAAAAGUUGGUCAUCUCUCCGACCCGUCUUGAAACACGGACCAAGGAGUCUAGCGUAUACGCGAGUCAUUGGGUGGAAAACCCAUAGGCGAAAUGAAAGUGAAGGUCUCCUCGUGAGACUGAUAUGCGAUCCGUUGCACUACGGUGUACGCGGAGCAGCAUAGCCCCGUCUCGACUGCUUGCAGUGGGGCGGAGGUAGAGCGUAUUCGCUGGUACCCGAAAGAUGGUGAACUAUGCCUGAGCAGGAUGAAGCCAGAGGAAACUCUGGUGGAGGUCCGAAGCGCUUCUGACGUGCAAAUCGAUCGUCUGACUUGGGUAUAGGGGCGAAAGACUAAUCGAACCAUCUAGUAGCUGGUUCCCUC
rnacentral:misc_RNA from 1 species